rnacentral:other from 1 species
CUUAUCCUGAAAUGUUCGACGAGGAACCUUAAUUUUGAACCUACAUGACAAAAAAGGGAAUCCGACUUGGGAUACGGAUGUCAGGCCUCAGGCACAAAUGCCAUUCGCAAGAAUCAGGGGAAGGCAGAAGUAUACCAUAGGAUACCCACCUAGCGAGGCUAGGUGUCAAAAUAAGGUGGCGGCAUUUUGGGAUAUUU